rnacentral:rRNA from 1 species
GAUGAACGCUAGCUACAGGCUUAACACAUGCAAGUCGAGGGGCAGCAUGGUCUUAGCUUGCUAAGGCCGAUGGCGACCGGCGCACGGGUGAGUAACGCGUAUCCAACCUGCCUUACACUCUUGGACAGCCUUCUGAAAGGGAGAUUAAUACAAGAUGUUAUCAUGAGUAAGCAUUUUCGCAUGAUUAAAGGUUUACCGGUGUAAGAUGGGGAUGCGUUCCAUUAGAUAGUAGGCGGGGUAACGGCCCACCUAGUCUUCGAUGGAUAGGGGUUCUGAGAGGAAGGUCCCCCACAUUGGAACUGAGACACGGUCCAAACUCCUACGGGAGGCAGCAGUGAGGAAUAUUGGUCAAUGGACGAGAGUCUGAACCAGCCAAGUAGCGUGAAGGAUGAAGGUCCUACGGAUUGUAAACUCUUUUAUAAGGGAAUAAACCCUCCCACGUGUGGGAGCUUGUAUGUACCUUAUGAAUAAGCAUCGGCUAACUCCGUGCCAGCAGCCG